ACGCUCGACACCUACGGGAGGCNGCAGUGGGGAAUAUUGGGCAAUGGGCGCAAGCCUGACCCAGCAACGCCGCGUGAAGGAAGAAGGCUUUCGGGUUGUAAACUUCUUUUAUUAAGGACGAAGCAAUGACGGUACUUAAUGAAUAAGCUCCGGCUAACUACGUGCCGGCAGCCGCGGUAAUCUGAGCGGGCUGGCAAGGC
rnacentral:rRNA from 1 species